UACGGAGGGUGCAAGCGUUGUUCGGAAUUACUGGGCGUAAAGCGCGCGUAGGCGGUUGUUUAAGUCAGAUGUGAAAGCCCAUGGCUCAACCAUGGACGUGCAUUUGAUACUGAAUAACUUGAGUACUGGAGGGGAUAGUGGAAUUCCCGGUGUAGAGGUGAAAUUCGUAGAUAUCGGGAGGAAUACCGGUGGCGAAGGCGACUAUCUGGCCAGAUACUGACGCUGAGGUGCGAAAGCGUGGGGAGCAAACAGG
rnacentral:rRNA from 1 species